GGAUUAGAUACCCUGGUAGUCCUUGCCGUAAACGAUGCAUACUUGGUGUAGUUGGUCUCAACCCCGACUGUGCCGUAGCUAACGCGUUAAGUAUGCCACCUGGGGAGUACGCUCGCAAGAGUGAAACUCAAAAGAAUUGACGGGGGCCCGCACAAGCAGUGGAGCAUGUGGUUUAAUUCGAUGAUACGCGAGGAACCUUACCUGGGCUUAAAUGUAGAGUGCAUGAGUGGGAAACCAUUCUUUCCUUCGGGACUCUUUACAAGGUGCUGCAUGGUUGUCGUCAGCUCGUGCCG
rnacentral:rRNA from 1 species